rnacentral:piRNA from 1 species
UCAUCUUAGAUAGUUCUCGCCUUACUUACC